CUAGUAUAUUGUACAUAGUCAUAUUAUUGUAUACACUUUAUUACUUUAUUAGAUUCUACGAUAUAGUAUCUUUCCAGUGUAACAUGCAUAUUAAAUCAUUUGAACAGAAAAAUAAUUUGGCAGGACACAUAUUGGGUGAUCCAUUGAAGUGGGUACACUCAUUAUCUUGUAAAGUAUUAACUUGUUCCAGAAUUUGUUUUCUAGAACAUUUAGGAAACAAGCUACUCUACACUUUUAUAUUUAUAUGAUUUUUUGUCA